rnacentral:tRNA from 1 species
GAAUUGGAAGCUAAAAUUAUAAGCAUCGGCCUUGUAAGUCGAAGACAGAGAUACCUCCCAAUUCU